CCUACGGGUGGCAGCAGUGAGGAAUAUUGGUCAAUGGGCGAGAGCCUGAACCAGCCAAGUCGCGUGAAGGAUGAAGGAUCUAUGGUUUGUAAACUUCUUUUAUAUGGGAAUAAAGUGAGGAACGUGUUCCUUUUUUUAUGUACCAUAUGAAUAAGCAUCGGCUAACUCCGUGCCAGCAGCCGCGGUAAUACGGAGGAUGCGAGCGUUAUCCGGAUUUAUUGGGUUUAACGGGUGCGUAGGUGGUUAAUUAAGUCAGCGGUGAAAGUUUGUGGCUCAACCAUAAAAUUGCCGUUGAUACUGGUAGGCUUGAGUACAGUUGAGGUAGGCGGAAUUCGUGGUGUAGCGGUGAAAUGCUUAGAGAUCACGAAGAACGCCGAUUGCGAAGGCAGCUUACUAAACUGCCACUGACAUUGAUGCUCGAAAGUGUGGGUAUCAAACAGGAUUAGAUACCCCUGUAGUC
rnacentral:rRNA from 1 species